rnacentral:ncRNA from 1 species
AGAAAUGCGUGGAUCAGGAAUAGUAAAUACCGACAGGUCGAUAGAGAGAAGCCGGAUGGUGCAAGGCUUUGACCGGAAAGUAUGGAACCAGCCUGGGAGCAGUAAGAUGAAAAAGUUUGUAUAUUGUGAAGGAAUGAUGGUUACAGAUGCGAAGAGAAAUCUUACCGGCAGUCUCCGUUAUCAGAGGCACGUAAGUAAAAAGCUUAUGAUGAGAGCAGGUUUUUCCUGAAAUUAGGUGGUAACACGGAUAAGUAGAUUCGCCCUAAAC